GGGUGGGGGUGGGGGUGGACUUUCUGCAACCUCUUCGGGCAGCUGAACAGGCCCAGUGGCAGCAUGGGUGCAGGCUAUUUGGCAUGAUGCAGGUUGGCUGAGUGGCCUGUUGGUUUCUAGGAAGGAUUUGGGCUUUUGAUUUGGUGUAAAAUUUGCAACCGAGGGUGUGGUUUCAGCACACAGAUCUUCCGGGGUUGUGUAUUCUGGAAAAGAAAAUGAGGUCAAGCAAAGAAGGAACUGAGCUUCCCUGGAGGUCCUAGGGGCUUCGGGUCAGGGGCUCAGAAUCGCCCUGUGGCCCACCUCCCUGAUGCGGGCACCAGCAGCUGCCGGCACUGGGCACCUUCCACGGGCCAGCCUUUUAUGUAUGUCAUGGGAACGGAGGUGGAGAAGGAAGCUCAUUCCAUCUGAGGCUGAGGCAACAUGACUGCCUGGAGGGAAGAAGAGAGCAGAUGCCAGCUGCAGACAAGCAUUUCCCAAGGAGAAGAAAAUAUUUCCGAAGGAAAUCAGCAUCACAGCAGAACAGGGUAGUGACUGUCAUCCAAGAAGCAUGCAGCCACCCACAGUCAAGUCCAUCCUUGGGGUCAGCACUCAAGUCUCCCUGCUGCUUACCAAGUUAUAAGAAGCCUACAGAGAAGAUCAGGAUAUAGACACAGCUUCUACUAUAGUCACCACGGGGUUCCUUACAUGAGUCAAUCUAAAAUGGGAUCCAGCUCGCAGUGCAUCUAAAAUAGGAUUCAAUUGCCCAAAUUCAAUAUGCACACCCUACCAGCAGAAACCUCUAUGGACACAGCCAUUGAAAAGAGUGGAAGCUCGAAAAACCUGGCCAUUUAACAAAAAGGACUAGUGCCUGUUUUAUCCAAAUUGAGAUGCAGGACUGGCAAAGAAGUGUCUGCAACUCUAUGCCAAGACCCAAUUUGAGGCUAUAGAAGGAUUGAAUCUGAAAAAGCAGAAAGCUGCAAAAUAGUUGUUCUUUGGAAAGAACAGGUAUAAGGAGAUGGACUCUCAAUGAGUAAGGGAACAUAACACAGCAACGGUGGAGUGAUCCCAGCACCUGGUCCCAAGCCCUCUUGGGUUUUCCCAAAGAACACCACCGGAGACAAGCUGGCCACCCAUCAUGGGCUCAGCAGAUAGAACAGUGACUCACCUUCUCUGUCUGUAUGACCCAGAUCAUCCCAUUCCCUUUAUCUCUCAAAUGCUGGUGGCUAGGCUCAGAGCUGAAAAGACAACUCCAAUUAGAUGGCCACCUUUCCUUAUUGUCCAUGCACCACUUUUCAGGGUAGGUCCCCCCAAGCAAGAAUCCAAAGGUGUGAGAUAUACUUCAGUAGGGUUUAUUCUUGGUACAGUCUCUCCAGAGAUCUUUCUGGAAUAUGUCACAUCUACAAGGACCUUGCGCAGUACUCUAGCAGCACAGAGAAGGGCUGCACCUAUCACCUGGGGUGCCCAGAGAGAGCCGCAGCCGCCAGCUCAGACAUACCACAUGGCAGGGAGCUGGGUUUCCAGCAGGCAGAAGAGGAGGUAAGCUCACUCCGCAGUGUCCUGCUGUGUUUGGAAAUUCCAUCCAAGAGGCAGCGUAUGGAUCUGUGUAUGGAUCUGCUGUCGCGUAAUGAAAUGGUAAUGGGAGGCAGUCCGGAACUUCUCUUUACACAGCCACCAACGGAUGCCAUCCGCAAGGAGGGCAGCUGCUCCUCCAAUCUGCCCUGCAUUUUCAAGUCUACACUCUCUUUGGAGACCUCCCCAGCCACACCCAGGAUCUCUCAUUGCCUUCAGAGAACCACCUGCUUUUAGAUGAUCACUUUCCACCCUUCAGACACUCUAUGCACCCGGCCUGAGGACAGGGAUUGCUGAGAAUCCACCCAGGGUAAAACCAGAGUGCUCACAAGAAGGACAGCUCUGGGCGCAGGCAGGGAGCCAUCUUGGAGUGCAGUUGUACCCAUGCCCAGUUCUGCGAACCGCACACUCUCCCUCUCUUUGUUAAGAUAAUAAUAAACACAAAGCCACAACAACAGCGACAACAAAAUCCAAAUAAAUGAUAAGCUCCAAAAGAACAGGUUGGGACUGUCAUCUUUCCCAGAUACCUGUUCACCACGACAAUGUCCUGUGCCAAUGCUGAGCCAUCUCCAAUACACGCCAUAUGCCUGUUUCUUUACUUAGCGUUGUUU